UCACACUACAACCAUCAGGUACUUGAACUCUAAAUAUAUCCAUAAACAUAAACCUAACACUAACCCAAAAACUAACCAUGAUACCCACACUGCAAUAUUCAGGUAUGUGAAUGCCAACACUAUAUUAAACUCUUACAAUAACACAAACCCUAAGCCCAACAAUAAAACCCAAACUCCAAAGCUGAGGCACAUGAAUUUGAAUCCUAAACCUCAUCCUAAAACUAACUCUUACCCUAACUCUAACCCUCAUAGCCACAAUCCAAUAUCAAGGUACUUGGAUUUCAACACUAUCUCUAACCAUAAUCCUAAAACUAACAUUAACACUAAAUUUCAAAACCACAUUGCAAAAGACAGAUUCUUACAUUUUUUUUGUACCAGGAUCUAACGCAAGACCUUGUGCUUGCGAGGAUUAAAUUCUGACACUAUUCCUACACCUAACCCUAACCUUAACCCUAACACUAACGAAUAUAGCCACACUGAAAUGCUUACUUAUAGAAAUCCAACAAGACACCAAUCACUAACACUAACCCUACCUCUGACCAUCACGCUCACACUCAAAUAAUCAGGUACUUUAAUUCCAACACUAUCCUUAACACUAACACUGACCCUAACACUAACAGUAAUAGCCAUACCCAAAUACUCAAGUACCUGAAUUCCAACACUAUCUGUAAGCCAUAUCCUAACACAAACCUAAAAACAUUCACACCCACACUCCAAACCUCAGGUAUAUGAAUUUGAACACUGAAUGUAACCCUAAACCUAACCCUAUCCAUAACCAACAUAUCCACAAUCCAAUACACAGGUAGUUGAAUUUGUACACUAGCCCUUACAUCAAGCCUAAAAUCAAUGCUAAUAUUGUCAAACUCACCCCAAUAACAGGUACUUAAAUUCCAAGAUUAUCAGGUACUUGAAUUCCAAUCAUAUCCUGAACCCCAAACCUAACCUUAACCCUAAUUCUAACACUACACAUCAUAGCCACAUUGCAAUGCUCAGGUACUUGAAAUCCAACAGUGUACCUCACCCUAAAACUAAAUCUACCCCUAAGCAUCAUACUCACAUACAGGCUUGAAUUCCAAGACUAUCACUUACCCCAACAUCAACCCUAACCCUAAACCUAUCACUAACUCUAGACCUAACACUAACACUAAGCAUGAUUAUCACACUCCAAUAGUCAGGUGUCUGAAUGCCAGUACUAUCUGAAACUCUUACAAGAACAUGAACCCUAACCUUAGCAAUCAAACCUACAUUCCAAAACUGAGGUACAUAUAUUUGAACCCUAAACCUAACCCUAAACAUAGCCCUAACCCUAACUAUCACCCUCAUAUCCACAGCCAGUAGCCAGGUACUUGUAUUUUACACUAUCCCUAACCCCAUUCCUAAAAACUAAUGUUAACACUAACUUUCAAAACCACACUUGAAUACACAGAUUCUGAAAUUCUGAUAUUCCUAACCCUAACCUUAACCCUAACCCUAUCACUACCUGUCAUAGCCACACUGAAUUGCUCACAUAUUGAAAUCCAACAGGAUACCCAUCCCUAACAUGAAAGCUAACCCUGAGCAUCAUGCUCACACUCAAAUAAUCAGGUAUUUGAAUUCCUACAUUAUCCUUAACCCUAACACUGAUACUAACACUAACCAUAAUACCCACACUUCAAUAGUCUGUUAACUGAAUUCCAAGACUAUUUGUAACUUUUACCCUAACAUGAAACCCAAAACUAACAUUCAUACCCACACUCAAAAACUCAGGUAUAUGACUUUGAACCCUAAAGCUAACUCUAAAGCUAACCCUAAUCCUAACCAUCAUAUCCACAAUCCAAUACACAGGUAGUUGAAUUCCUACACUAUCCCUAACCCUAACUGUAAAACUAACUCUAAUACUAACCAUCAAAGCCACACUCCAAUACAAAG
rnacentral:lncRNA from 1 species